rnacentral:rRNA from 1 species
CACGUAGGCACCAAGCGUUGUCCGGAUUUAUUGGGCGUAAAGAGCUCGUAGGCGGCUUGGCAAGUCGGGUGUGAAACCUCCAGGCUCAACCUGGAGACGCCACUCGAUACUGCUAUGGCUAUAGUCCGGUAGGGGACCACGGAAUUCCUGGUGUAGCGGUGAAAUGCGCAGAUAUCAGGAGGAACACCGGUGGCGAAGGCGGUGGUCUGGGCCGGCACUGACGCUGAGGAGCGAAAGCGUGGGUAGCAAACAGG